CUACCGGGGCCAACUCAGCUUCAUCCAUUGUUGCUACUCUGUCUCCUUUCUUCUUCACGUCCGUUGCCUUGGUUUUGUCGUACUGAAUAUGUUGACCAUUUUGCUGUGUUUUGUUUAUUUUGAGGUGAUAUUAUGUC